rnacentral:rRNA from 1 species
UACGUAGGUGGCAAGCGUUGUCCGGAUUUAUUGGGUUUAAAGGGUGCGUAGGCGGGUUAUUAAGUCAGUGGUGAAAGCCUUCAGCUUAACUGAAGAAUUGCCAUUGAUACUGAUGAUCUUGAGUAUGAUUGAGGUGGGCGGAAUGUGUCAUGUAGCGGUGAAAUGCUUAGAUAUGACACAGAACACCGAUUGCGAAGGCAGCUCACUAAGCCAUAACUGACGCUGAUGCACGAAAAGCGUGGGGGAGCAAACAGG